UACGGGGGGGGCAAGCGUUGUUCGGAAUUACUGGGCGUAAAGGGCGCGUAGGCGGCCUGCUAAGUCGGAUGUGAAAUCCCUCGGCUCAACCGAGGAACUGCAUCCGAUACUGGCGGGCUUGAAUCCGGGAGAGGUGAGUGGAACUGCGAGUGUAGAGGUGAAAUUCGUAGAUAUUCGCAAGAACACCAGUGGCGAAGGCGGCUCACUGGCCCGGUACUGACGCUGAGGUGCGAAAGCGUGGGGAGCAAACAGG
rnacentral:rRNA from 1 species